rnacentral:rRNA from 1 species
AUUGAACGCUGGCGGCAUGCUUUACACAUGCAAGUCGAACGGAGAACUUAUUUCGGUAAAUUCUUAGUGGCGAACGGGUGAGUAACGCGUGGGCAACCUGCCCUUCAGAUGGGGACAACAUCCCGAAAGGGGUGCUAAUACCGAAUACGAUCACGCUGCCGCAUGGCGGUGUGAUGAAAGAUGGCCUCUAUUUAUAAGCUAUCGCUGAAGGAUGGGCCUGCGUCUGAUUAGCUAGUUGGUGGGGUAACGGCCUACCAAGGCGAUGAUCAGUAGCCGGUCUGAGAGGAUGAACGGCCACAUUGGGACUGAGACACGGCCCAAACUCCUACGGGAGGCAGCAGUGGGGAAUAUUCCGCAAUGGACGAAAGUCUGACGGAGCAACGCCGCGUGUGUGAUGAAGGUUUUCGGACUGUAAAACUCUGUUGUUUAGGACGAAAGUGCCUGUUGCAAAUAGUUGCAGGUAUUGACGGUACUGAACGAGGAAGCCACGGCUAACUACGUGCCAGCCGCCGCAGUAAAAC